UGGGGAAUCUUGCGCAAUGGGCGAAAGCCUGACGCAGCGACGCCGCGUGGGGGAGGAAGCUUUUCGGAGUGUAAACCCCUGUCAGGAGGGAAGAACGGGCACCCGAGGAAAUGCGGGUGUUUUGACGGUACCUCCAAAGGAAGCCCCGGCUAACUACGUGCCAGCAGCCGCGGUAAUACGUAGGGGGCAAACGUUGUCCGGAAUAACUGGGCGUAAAGGGCGAGUAGGUGGUCUGUCAAGUCAGAAGUGAAAACUGCGGGCUCAACCCGGAGAUUGCUUUUCGAAACUGGCAGACUUGAGUGCAGGAGAGGGAAGCGGAAUUCCUAGUGUAGCGGUGAAAUGCGUAGAUAUUAGGAGGAACACCAGUGGCGAAGGCGGCUUCCUGGCCUGUAACUGACACUGAGGCGCGAAAGCGUGGGGAGCAAA
rnacentral:rRNA from 1 species